rnacentral:rRNA from 1 species
GAAUCUGGCUUCAGGUUCGGGACCACAGUUGGAAACGGCUGCUAAUACCGGAUGUGCCUUAGGGUGAAAGAUUUAUCGCCUGAAGAUGAGCUCGCGUCUGAUUAGCUAGUAGGGGGGGUAAGAGCGCCACCUAGGCGACGAUCAGUAGCUGGUCUGAGAGGAUGAUCAGCCACACUGGGACUGAGACACGGCCCAGACUCCUACGGGAGGCAGCAGUGGGGAAUUUUCCGCAAUGGGCGAAAGCCUGACGGAGCAAUACCGCGUGAGGGAGGAAGGCUCUUGGGUUGUAAACCUCUUUUCUCAGGGAAGAAUGAUGACGGUACCUGAGGAAUAAGCAUCGGCUAACUCCGUGCCAGCAGCCGCGGUAAUACGGAGGAUGCAAGCGUUAUCCGGAAUGAUUGGGCGUAAAGCGUCCGCAGGUGGCAAUGUAAGUCUGCUGUCAAAGCGUGUGGCUCAACCAUAUAAAGGCAGUGGAAACUACAUAGCUAGAGUAAGGUAGGGGUAGAGGGAAUUCCUGGUGUAGCGGUGAAAUGCGUAGAGAUCAGGAAGAACACCGGUGGCGAAAGCGCUCUGCUGGACCUUAGCUGAGACUGAGGGACAAAAGCUAUGGGAGAG